GAUGAACGCUGGCGGCGUGCCUAAUACAUGCAAGUCGAGCGAACAGACGAGGAGCUUGCUCGUCUGACGUUAGCGGCGGACGGGUGAGUAACACGUGGAUAACCUACCUAUAAGACUGGGAUAACUUCGGGAAACCGGAGCUAAUACCGGAUAAUAUAUUGAACCGCAUGGUUCAAUAGUGAAAGACGGUUUUGCUGUCACUUAUAGAUGGAUCCGCGCCGCAUUAGCUAGUUGGUAAGGUAACGGCUUACCAAGGCAACGAUGCGUAGCCGACCUGAGAGGGUGAUCGGCCACACUGUAACUGAGACACGGUCCAGACUCCUACGGGAGGCAGCAGUAGGGAAUCUUCCGCAAUGGGCGAAAGCCUGACGGAGCAACGCCGCGUGAGUGAUGAAGGUCUUCGGAUCGUAAAACUCUGUUAUUAGGGAAGAACAAAUGUGUAAGUAACUAUGCACGUCUUGACGGUACCUAAUCAGAAAGCCACGGCUAACUACGUG
rnacentral:rRNA from 1 species